AUUGAACGCUGGCGGCAGGCCUAACACAUGCAAGUCGAGCGAGCGGCGGACGGGUGAGUAAUGUCUGGGAAACUGCCUGAUGGAGGGGGAUAACUACUGGAAACGGAAGCUAAUACCGCAUACCAUCGGAUGUGCCCAGAUGGGAUUAGCUAGUAGGUGGGGUAACGGCGCACCUAGGCGACGAUCCCUAGCUGGUCUGAGAGGAGGACCAGCCACACUGGAACUGAGACACGGUCCAGACUCCGACGGGAGUCAGCAGGGGGGAAUAGUGCACAAGGGGCGCAAGCCUGAUGCAGCCAGGCCGCGUGUGUGAAGAAGGCCUUCGGGUUGUAAAGCACGUUCAGCGGGGAGGCGUUACCCGCAGAAGAAGCACCGGCUAACUCCGUGCCAGCCGCCGCGGUAAUAC
rnacentral:rRNA from 1 species